UAAAUAAGGUUAAUUAGCCAUCGUCUUAAUGUUCUAUCAUUUCUUUGUGGCCAGCCUUUCGACAGAUGCAGUUUGUAAUUGUUAUCUCUAGACAUCUUACUAGGAGAGAUUUGCCGGAGAGGUGCCUAGCAAGGCACAACCAAGCCUCAGACUCCAAAGCCUGGGAAAAGAUACCCUUCACACUUCGUUUUCAACCGCUGGGGAGUGUGCGCAGGAAUGCUGACCGAGAGCUUGAGGCAUGGCCAUGUGCACCUGUAACCGCAGUACCGAGGAGGCAGAGACAGGCGGAUCCCUGAGGCUUGCUGGAUUCCCAGCACCACAUGCAGGGCGCUUUCAAGAGGGAACCUCUGCUUAUUAGUUGCUUCUGAGAGUGAAUACUUUGAGAUCGGUCCAAGUCAAGGAGUUUGAACCGAGCCGGUUCUCGUGGAGCUGUGUGGUUGUGACCUCCACCCUCAACAUUUGCAUCCACAUCCGGGGGUUAUCUGCAAAGCAGAUAUGGUUUCAGAGAAGAAUUUCAGUCUAAUACCUGGUAAUUAGCUCAAAGGAGAAUAUUUGGAGCGGAUUCAACGGCACCAGGCAGCUGGUGCAGGGAGAUGCUUAUUUUUCCUAAUUUUCCUAAGUGGUUUCUGGGAGCUUUUGGGUGGCAGCUGAGACCAGCUCGUGAUAUGCCAGGCGCUCUCUGAUGAUUCGCUUGCUCUGGGAAUGUAGAGGCGCACCAGCUGCCAACCCAGUGACAUAACCUGCUCAGGCGUGAGGGGAGGAUGCCGUGAAAGAUUCAUCUCCUGGAUGAUUCAUCAUCCCUGCUUCCUGAUUCACUUCCAGGACCCCUACCCCCACUUCACAGCCUAUCUGCAGGACUAUCAAGGCAUGGGAUUCUGAAGGCGUGCUAGUCAGACGGUGGAAUUAUCAAACCCCAAGUCGUCAAUUCUAAUUAAUGCCGCGAGCCACCUGGAUAUCUAGUGACUGGAAACAAAAUCAAUUUGAGUUCUGAAAUUUAAUUUACAUACAGCUGGCGUGGUAAAUCAGUAACACACUGCAAGGUAGCCCACUUCUCUGUAGUCAGGGGAUAGAAUUCCUGUUUGCAUGGUAUUUUGUAAAUUCUGAAAUUAACCCAGAGCUGUUGGCCUUACCAGAAAGGGCCUGAUGGUAGGGAGAAUGCUUGAAAACCUCAAUUCAUGGGCAUGAAAAGAAAAUGUAAUUUCUGUAUUUUUGUUUAUAACUGUUUCUCAGUUUAAUUCAUGAUUUGCCGUACUCCACCCCACCCC